rnacentral:rRNA from 1 species
GAGUUUGAUCAUGGCUCAGAUUGAACGCUGGCGGCAUGCCUUACACAUGCAAGUCGAACGGCAGCGCGGGAGCAAUCCUGGCGGCGAGUGGCGAACGGGUGAGUAAUACAUCGGAACGUGCCCAAUCGUGGGGGAUAACGCAGCGAAAGCUGUGCUAAUACCGCAUACGAUCUACGGAUGAAAGCAGGGGAUCGCAAGACCUUGCGCGAAUGGAGCGGCCGAUGGCAGAUUAGAUAGUUGGUGAGGUAAAGGCUCACUAAGCCUUCGAUCUGUAGCUGGUCUGAGAGGACGACCAGCCACACUGGGACUGAGACACGGCCCAGACUCCUACGGGAGGCAGCAGUGGGGAAUUUUGGACAAUGGGCGAAAGCCUGAUCCAGCCAUGCCGCGUGCAGGAUGAAGGCCUUCGGGUUGUAAACUGCUUUUGUACGGAACGAAACGGUCUUCUCUAAUAAAGAGGGCUAAUGACGGUACCGUAAGAAUAAGCACCGGCUAACUACGUGCCAGCAGCCGCGGUAAUACG